CCUACGGGGCGCAGCAGUGGGGAAUAUUGGGCAAUGGGCGCAAGCCUGACCCAGCAAUGCCGCGUGAAGGAAGAAGGCUUUCGGGUUGUAAACUUCUUUGACAGGGGAAGAGCAGAAGACGGUACCCUGAAAACAAGCCACGGCUAACUACGUGCCAGCAGCCGCGGUAAUACGUAGGUGGCAAGCGUUGUCCGGAUUUACUGGGUGUAAAGGGCGUGUAGCCGGGAGGGCAAGUCAGAUGUGAAAUCUGGAGGCUCAACCUCCAAAUUGCAUUUGAAACUGUUUUUCUUGAGUACUGGAGAGGCAGACGGAAUUCCUUGUGUAGCGGUGAAAUGCGUAGAUAUAAGGAGGAACACCAGUGGCGAAGGCGGUCUGCUGGACAGCAACUGACGGUGAGGCGCGAAAGCGUGGGGAGCAAACAGGAUUAGAUACCCUAGUAGUC
rnacentral:rRNA from 1 species